GAUGAACGCUGGCGGCGUGCUUAACACAUGCAAGUCGAACGGAAAGGCUCCUGCUUGCAGGGGUACUCGAGUGGCGAACGGGUGAGUAACACGUGGGUGAUCUGCCCUGCACUUCGGGAUAAGCCUGGGAAACUGGGUCUAAUACCGGAUAGGACGAUGGUUUGGAUGCCAUUGUGGAAAGUUUUUCGGUGUGGGAUGAGCUCGCGGCCUAUCAGCUUGUUGGUGGGGUAAUGGCCUACCAAGGCGUCGACGGGUAGCCGGCCUGAGAGGGUGUACGGCCACAUUGGGACUGAGAUACGGCCCAGACUCCUACGGGAGGCAGCAGUGGGGAAUAUUGCACAAUGGGCGCAAGCCUGAUGCAGCGACGCCGCGGGGGGGAUGACGGCCUUCGGGUUGUAAACUCCUUUCGCUAGGGACGAAGCGUUUUGUGACGGUACCUGGAGAAGAAGCACCGGCUAACUACGUG
rnacentral:rRNA from 1 species